AUUGAACGCUGGCGGCAUGCCUUACACAUGCAAGUCGAACGGCAGCACGGGGGCAACCCUGGUGGCGAGUGGCGAACGGGUGAGUAAUACAUCGGAACGUGUCCUGUAGUGGGGGAUAGCCCCGGCGAAAGCCGGAUUAAUACCGCAUACGCUCUACGGAGGAAAGGGGGGAGUCUCAGGACCUCCCGCUACAGGGGCGGCCGAUGGCAGAUUAGCUAGUUGGUGGGGUAAAGGCCUACCAAGGCGACGAUCUGUAGCUGGUCUGAGAGG
rnacentral:rRNA from 1 species